CCUACGGGAGGCAGCAGUGGGGAAUCUUAGACAAUGGGCGCAACCCUGAUCUAGCCAUGCCGCGUGAGUGAUGAAGGCCCUAGGGUCGUAAAGCUCUUUCAACUGUGAAGAUAAUGACGGUAGCAGUAGAAGAAACCCCGGCUAACUCCGUGCCAGCAGCCGCGGUAAUACGGAGGGGGUUAGCGUUGUUCGGAAUUACUGGGCGUAAAGCGUACGUAGGCGGAUUAAUAAGUUAGAGGUGAAAUCCCAGGGCUCAACCCUGGAACUGCCUUUAAAACUGUUAGUCUUGAGAUCGAGAGAGGUGAGUGGAAUUCCAAGUGUAGAGGUGAAAUUCGUAGAUAUUUGGAGGAACACCAGUGGCGAAGGCGGCUCACUGGCUCGAUACUGACGCUGAGGUACGAAAGUGUGGGGAGCAAACAGGAUUAGAUACCCUGGUAGUCCACACCGUAAACGAUGAAUGCCAGACGUCAGCAAGCAUGCUUGUUGGUGUCACACCUAACGGAUUAAGCAUUCCGCCUGGGGAGUACGGUCGCAAGAUUAAAACUCAAAGGAAUUGACGG
rnacentral:rRNA from 1 species